rnacentral:lncRNA from 1 species
GUUUAGUGACGUGGCAGAAGCAGAUGCCAUUUCUAAACUAAGGACGGGGCUGGGAUGAGGAAAGGGAGGUAUUUAAUUUGACCGUUUCUGCCUCCUUCUGUCAGACAUAUUCGACAGGAUUUAUUCAGUGCUUGAGGAAACUCCAGCACCUCCUAGAACAUCUUUUGUGGAAUGGCAGGCACCUCAUGGGGGCCCUUGGAUCAUGUGCCACAUGCAUUCAACAGUAAACAUCUUCCUAUAAUCAUUGCUUC